rnacentral:rRNA from 1 species
UACGUAGGGUGCAAGCGUUAAUCGGAAUUACUGGGCGUAAAGCGUGCGCAGGCGGUUGUGUAAGACAGAUGUGAAAUCCCCGGGCUUAACCUGGGAACUGCAUCUGUGACUGCAUCGCUGGAGUGCGGCAGAGGGGGAUGGAAUUCCGCGUGUAGCAGUGAAAUGCGUAGAUAUGCGGAGGAACACCGAUGGCGAAGGCAAUCCCCUGGGCCUGCACUGACGCUCAUGCACGAAAGCGUGGGGAGCAAACAGG